rnacentral:rRNA from 1 species
CCAAUAGCGUAUAUUAAAGUUGUUGCAGUUAAAAAGCUCGUAGUUGAACUUCAGGCCUGUCCAGAUGGUCCGCCUUAAUUGGUGUGUACUGUCCUUGGGUGGGUCCUACCUUCUGGCGAAGCGGCAUGGCCUUAAUUGGUUGUGUCGGGGAACCAGGACUUUUACUGUGAAAAAAUUAGAGUGUUCAAAGCAGGUAUUAUAUGCUCGAAUACAUUAGCAUGGAAUAAUGGAAUAGGACGAUGGUUCUAUUUUGUUGGUUCUAGGACCGUUGUAAUGAUUAAUAGGGAUAGUUGGGGGCAUUAGUAUUCAAUUGUCAGAGGUGAAAUUCUUGGAUUUAUUGAAGACUAACUACUGCGAAAGCAUUUGCCAAGGAUGUUUUCAUUAAUCAAGAACGAAAGUUAGGGGAUCGAAGACGAUCAGAUACCGUCGUAGUCUUAACCAUAAACUAUGCCGACUAGGAAUCGGGCGAUGUUGACAAAAUGACUCGCUCGGCACCUCAUG